AAUGAAAACAAUUUGGUUGAAACUCAAAUCGGCACUCUGAAAUACAACAAGAUAGCCCAUCUCCUUUUCUCCGAAUUAGUCACUCUCUGCCUUUUCAAAGCCGCAUACCUCCUCUUUACACUCAUCUUCUCCCUUCUAUCCACUUCCGCCGUAGUUUACACCAUCGCUUGCAUCUACACCGGCCAAAAAGUGACCUUCACCAAGGUCCUGACUGUAGUCCCCAAGGUCUGGAAAAGGCUCAUACUCACCUUCUUAACCAUCCUUGCAGUGUUCUUCGCUUAUCACAUAGUUGCAGCACUUUUCCUGAUUUCAUGGAUAGCGUUUAUGGCCCCUAGCAAUACCGGUUUCUUAAUUUUGCUCUUUCUGGUCAUCUUCUACUUGG
rnacentral:lncRNA from 1 species